GCCAGCUUGGCGUAGUGGUUUGAGUGUUGGACUAGAACUCUGAAGACCAGGGUUUGAUUCCCAGCUUGGCC